rnacentral:rRNA from 1 species
GAGAGAGAGACAUGCGCGCAUAUCAAUAAGCGGAGGAAAAGAAACUAACUAGGAUUCCCUCAGUAACGGCGAGUGAAGCGGGAAGAGCUCAAAUUUGAAAUCUUCAAGGUUCUACCUUGACGAAUUGUAGUUUAAAGAAGUGUUUUCUGUUGGAGUUUUGGUAAAAGUUCUUUGGAAUAGGACAUCAUAGAGGGUGAGAAUCCCGUAUUUGACCAUUAUUUUCAGCUGUGUGAUACACUUUCAAAGAGUCGGAUUGUUUGGGAAUGCAGUCCAAAAUGGGUGGUAAAUUCCAUCUAAAGCUAAAUAUUGGCGAGAGACCGAUAGCGAACAAGUACCGUGAGGGAAAGAUGAAAAGAACUUUGAAAAGAGAGUUAAACAGUACGUGAAAUUGUCAAAAGGGAAGCGUUUGACACCAGUGUUGUUUUCUCGAAAAUCAAUUAAAAAAGGCAGGAUUUUGUGUUGUAUUGACUUUAUCAGCUUUCUGCACUCUUUUCUUGUCUUUUUUUAAUGCACUUUUCGCUUAACAAGUCAACAUCAGUUUCUUUUGUUGUAAAAGGGUCAUUGGAAGGUGGCUUUCUUUUCGGAGAAAGUGUUUAUAGCCUUUGGCCUCUGCAAUCGGAGAGAUUGAGGUCUGCAGCGUAGAUCCUUCGGGGUUAGAUACAUUCGUGCUAAGUUAUAGCCUUUCAUAGACAACUUGUUGACUAUGAUCAGUCAUGUAGCUUACUCGCUUAUGCUAUUUUACCUACGCUUAGGAUGUUGAUGUGAUACUGCGAGCA